AGCAGUGGUCUGUAGACUACUUUGGGUAAAGUGGCUGAUCAGGGGCGUUUAUCUGCGUUUGAAAACUCGUGGUCCUCGUCAUAGGAACAGGUCUUGUAGUACUGCAACACAACCUAGGAAGCACAGGGGGAGGGGAGGGGGGGACAACUUUACUAUAUCCAUAUCAGUAAAUAGCUGAUCAACCUCUAUACAAGGUUACAGAGACUGUCAACCUCUAUAGGUUACAGAGACUGAUCACUCAUACAAGGUUACAGAGACUGACAACCUCUAUACAGGUUACAGAGACUGACUCAUACUAUCAUUAUACAAGGUUACAGAGAACUGAAUCACAUCUUACAAGGUUAGAGACUGAUCAACAUCUAUACAAGGUUACAGAGACUGAUAACUCUAUACAGGUUAGAGAACUGAUCAACUCUAUACAAGGUUACAAGAGACUGAUCAACAUCUAUACAAGGUUCAGAGACUGAUCACUCUAUACAAGGUAAGAGACUGAUCAACAUCUAUACAAGUUAGAGACUGAUCAACACUAUACAAGGUUACAGAGACUGACAACGCAACAGUUCAGAGACGAUCAACAUCUAUACAAGGUUAGAGACUGAUCAACAUCUAUACAAGGUUACAGAGACUGAUCAACCUCUAUACAAGGUUACAGAGACUGAUCAACAUCUCAUACAAGGUUAGAGACUGAUCAACAUCUAUACAAGUAGAGACUUAUCAAGCUUACAAUUACAGAGACUGCUCAACAUCUAUACAAGGUUACAGAGACUGCUCAACAUCAUACAAGGUUACAGAGACUGAUCAACAUCUAUACAAGGUUAAGAGACUGAUCAACAUCUAUACAAGGUUAGACUGAUCAACAUCUAUACAAGGUUACAGAGACUGAUCAACAUCUAUACAAGGUUACAGAGACUGAUCAACCUCUAUACAAGGUUACAGAGACUGAUCAACAUCUAUACAAGGUUAGAGACUGAUCAACAUCUAUACAAGGUUACAGAGACUGAUCAAAUCUAUACAAGGUUACAGAGACUGAAACAUCUAUACAAGGUUACAGAGACGGAUCAACACUAUAAGGUUACAGAGACGAUCAACAUCUAUACAAGGUUACAGAGACUGAUCAACAUCUAUACAAAAGGUACGAGAGAGACUGAUCAACAACUAUACAAGGUUACAGAGACUGAUCAACAUCUAUACAAGGUUACAGAGACUACUGAUCAACAUCUACAAGGGUACAGAGACUGA
rnacentral:lncRNA from 1 species